rnacentral:rRNA from 1 species
AAGAGUGGCGACCGGCGCACGGGUGAGUAACACGUACCCAACCUCGCCGAUACUCGGGAUAGCCUUUCGAAAGAAAGAUUAAUACCCGAUGGUAUAAUCAGACCGCAUGGUUUGAUUAUUAAAGAAUUUCGGUUAUCGAUGGGGAUGCGUUCCAUUAGGCAGUUGGUGAGGUAACGGCUCACCAAACCUUCGAUGGAUAGGGGUUCUGAGAGGAAGGUCCCCCACAUUGGAACUGAGACACGGUCCAA